rnacentral:rRNA from 1 species
UACAGAGGGUGCGAGCGUUAAUCGGAAUUACUGGGCGUAAAGCGUGCGCAGGCGGUGAUGUAAGACAGGUGUGAAAUCCCCGGGCUUAACCUGGGAACUGCAUUUGUGACUGCAUCGCUGGAGUGCGGCAGAGGGGGAUGGAAUUCCGCGUGUAGCAGUGAAAUGCGUAGAUAUGCGGAGGAACACCGAUGGCGAAGGCAAUCCCCUGGGCCUGCACUGACGCUCAUGCACGAAAGCGUGGGAGCAAACAGG